UUCCCGAUUCUAAAAGGAGCUAUUAACUUAUUUUAGUUGUUGUUUUAUUAACAUUAAUAAUAGGUUAGUAGUGGUGAAAUGUUAUUCGUCUUUAGGGGUUUCUGGUUUUUCAAGAAAUGAAUUUAAUUCAUGCGUCUUAUUUAGAGUUUUAUUAUUUGUUUAUUUAUUUUUAUUUGGCGUUAAGAUUGGGGGGGAUUAGCUUCUUAUUUUAUUUUUAUAAUUUUUUGUUUAUUUAGUCUUGUGGGUUUUAUAGUGAUUUUCAAUUUGAUUAUGUUAAAAUUUUAUUUGUUUUGUUCUUUAUUUUUAUUUAUUUAAUUAUUUAUUGAAAUGUAUUCUUUAUUUUGUUUUGGUUAGUAAUUAUUGUAGAAUUAGUAAAUUUGUUGUUAGGUUGUUUUAUUUGUGUUAAUUUUCUUUGAGGAACUAGGCAAAUUUCAUGUCCGCCUGUUUAACAAAAACAUCUUUUCUCGUUAGUUUUUGAAGUAUGGCCUGCCCACUGACUUUGGUGUUGAAGGGCCGCGGUAUUUUGACCGUGCAAAGGUAGCAUAGUCAUUAGUUCUUUAAUUGUGAUCUGGUAUGAAUGGCUUGACGAGGCAUGGGCUGUCUUAAUUUUGAAUUGUUUAUUGAAUUUGGUCUUUGAGUUAAAAUUCUUAGAUGUUUUUAUGGGACGAGAAGACCCUAUAGAGUUUAACAUUUGUUAUGGUCCCUUUCUGUUUGUGAGGGUUCACUGGGCCGUCUAAUAUGUUUUGUUGGGGUGAUGGGAGGGAUAUAAUUUAACCCCUCCUUUUUAUUAUUAUAUUUAUUUAUAUUUACUUGAUC
rnacentral:rRNA from 1 species